rnacentral:rRNA from 1 species
GCUAAGUUCGCGGCAGGAGCCGGGGGAAUAGAGGUGGGGCGAGCGUGAGAGGGAUUGAAGAGGGUGAAAGGGUGCGUGGGGGGGUAUUUAAGGCAGUGGUGAAAGCCGGCGGAUGAACCGAGGAAUUGCAAUUUAAGAUGAAUAGGUUGAGUACAGGUGAAGUGGGCGGAAUACAUCAGGUAGCGGUGAAAUGCUUAGAUAUGAGGUAGAACACCGAUUGCGAAGGCAGCUCACUAAGCUGUAACUGACACUGAGGCACGAAAGCGUGGGUAGCGAACAGGAUUAGAUACCCUAGUAGUC